rnacentral:rRNA from 1 species
GACGAACGCUGGCGGCGUGCUUAACACAUGCAAGUCGAACGGAAAGGCCCUGCUUUUGUGGGGUGCUCGAGUGGCGAACGGGUGAGUAACACGUGAGUAACCUGCCCUUGACUUUGGGAUAAUUUCAGGAAACUGGGGCUAAUACCGGAUCGUAGCUCCUGCUUCAUGGUGGGGGUUGGAAAGUUUCGGCGGUUGGGGAUGGACUCGCGGCUUAUCAGCUCGUUGGUGGGGUAGUGGCUUACCAAGGCUUUGACGGGUAGCCGUCCUGAGAGGGUGACCGGCCACAUUGGGACUGAGAGACGGCCCAGACUCCUACGGGAGGCAGCAGUGGGGAAUAUUGCACAAUGGGCGGGAGCCUGAUGCAGCAACGCCGCGUGCGGGAUGACGGCCUUCGGGUUGUAAACCGCUUUCGCCUGUGACGAAGCGUGAGUGACGGUAAUGGGUAAAGAAGCACCGGCUAACUACGUG